rnacentral:ncRNA from 1 species
AGAUAUUGAACUAUGCUUGGGCAGGGCGAAAUCAGGGAAAACAGUCGUGGAGUUCCAUAGCAAACCUGACAUGUAAAUCAGUCAUCUGGCCUGGAUACAGGAGCUAAAGACUAAUCCAUCUAGAAG